rnacentral:lncRNA from 1 species
CCAACUCUAUCUAUCAAAGAUCAUCAAUCAUCAAGAUGAUACUCAUGAGCCCCACAAUCUAUCAAUGACACCUAGCACUGUAAUAGCCAUCCAGUAGAAUAAAAUUGAUGAACCUCUAGAUGUAGUUACCAUAUGAUACAGUCCCUCUAUUAUGAGUCCCGACUUGAUGGAGGUCAUAGAUAAUUUGUCAAAUCCCAUCGUCAGUCAUAUGUUAGAUUUAUUUGACUCGAGUUCAUCCUAUGAAUAUCCAUAGAAAUUUUUUUCCAUCAAUCACACUGCC